AUUGAACGCUGGCGGCAGGCCUAACACAUGCAAGUAGAGCGGAACGGCGGACGGGUGAGUAAUGCCUAGGAAUCUGACUGGUAGUAGGGGAUAACGUCAGGAAACGGGCGCUAAUACAGCAUACUAUCAGAUGAGCCUAGGUGGGAUUGGCUAGUUGGUGGGGUAAAGGCCCAGCAAGGCGACGAUCCGUAACUGGUCUGAGAGGAUGAGCAGUCAAACUGGACCUGGGACACGGUCCAGCCUCCUACGGUGGGCAGCGGUGGGGAAUUUUGGCCAAUGGGCGAAAGCCUGAUCCACCCAGGCGGCGUGUGGGAGGAAGGUCUUCGGAUUGUAAAGCACUUUAAUAUGGGAGGCGUUACCAACAGAAUAAGCACCGGCUAACUUCGUGCCAGCAGCCGCGGUAAUAC
rnacentral:rRNA from 1 species